UUGGAGUGUAGUGCACCUCAUUGUGGGUC
rnacentral:piRNA from 1 species